rnacentral:rRNA from 1 species
UACGUAGGGUGCAAGCGUUUAAUCGGAAUUACUGGGCGUAAAGCGUACGCAGGCGGUUUUGUAAGUCUGUCGUGAAAUCCCCCGGGCUUAACCUGGGAAUUGCGAUGGAGACUGCAAGGCUAGAAUCUGGCAGAGGGGGGGUAGAAUUCCACGUGUAGCAGUGAAAUGCGUAGAGAUGUGGAGGAACACCGAUGGCGAAGGCAGCCCCCUGGGUCAAGAUUGACGCUCAUGCACGAAAGCGUGGGGGAGCAAACAGG